GUAGCAUUCCUGAAUUUCACCCUAAUGCUGCCGUCGUUAAAGUAGGCAUUCAUGCUUCUAUAACAGGCGCAUUAGAAUUUUCCACACACUAUCUUGCUUCGUUCCUCAAAUCUGUGCACUGCCUCACACAUUACAACAUUGAAAUCGGACAAGACAACAUCCGCGUUAUGCCUGUUUUCUCGGAAAGGGUCCUCACACGUACCUACUCACUAUUAUCAACCACGAUCAAAACGCUGUCGUUUCUGCGCUUGUCGAUCUGUGCAACAAAUUCUCAGUCUCUCUGCCUCUAGGGUUUUUUAAUUUCUAGAAAAAAAUCCUCAAAUUAGAAGAAAAAUGGAUCAAUCAUUUCUAAUAAUGCUAUCAAAUUUGCUCCACCUCCACAACCACCUUGAUCCGACGAACUCCCUACUCUCCGACUCCUCCUCCGCCUCUUACUCCUCCGACGUAUCAUCCCCUGCCUCCAUCCUUACCUCCACCUCCGCCGCGCCCAUCCUCUUCUUCACUCUCGCCUCCGUCCUUUCUUACCUGGCUUCUAACUCACCUAAAAAACCUUCCAAACCCUCUUCCCCCUCCUCUUCCUCCUCUAAACCGCCGUCAGAAUUCUCCGUCGCCGCCUUCCGUGCCCUCUCUACAGAGCGCAUAUGGGCCAUGGAAGCUCCCCUUCGCGAUGCCCAGUGGCGAUCCCUCUACGGCCUAUCUUACCCAGUGUUUACUACUGUUGUUGAUAAGCUUAAGCCGUACAUUACUCAAUCCCAGCUGUCUUUACCGUCUGAUUAUGCUGUUGCUAUGGUCCUGUCUAGGCUCUCCCAUGGCCUUUCCCUUAAAACCCUCGCGUCCCGUUAUGCCCUUGAACCGUAUUUGAUUUCGAAGAUUACUAACAUGGUUACUCGCUUAUUGGCGACUAAGCUUUACCCUGAAUUUAUCAAAAUCCCCGUUUCUCGACGUCGUCUUGUGGAGAAUACGCAAGGGUUUCAGGAAUUAACCUCGCUGCCGAAUAUUUGUGGGGCUGUUGAUUCGACUCCUGUGAAACUGCAUAAGCUAAGUCCUGAUGUAAUUAAUGGUUCUAUGUAUUAUUGUAAGUAUGGGUUUCCUUCAAUAUUGCUGCAGGUUGUUGCCGACAGCAAGAAGGUUUUCUGGGACGUGUGCGUGAAAGCUCCUGGUGGUUAUGAUGAUUCCACACAUUUCAGGGAUAGCUUGUUGUAUAACAGAUUGAUUUCUGGUGAUAUUGUGUGGGACAAGGCGAUAAAUGUUAGAGGGCAGCAUGUUAGGCCUUACAUAGUGGGAGACUGGUGUUUUCCUCUGCUGUCAUUUUUGCUCACACCGUUUAGUUAUAACAGGACGGGAAAUCCAGGACAAAAUGCAUUUGAUGAGGCAUUGAUGAAGGGAAGGAAGACUGUGGAGGAGGCCAUUGGAUUGCUUAAAGGGAGGUGGAGGAUCCUGCAGGACUUGAAUGUGGGACUGAACCAUGCACCACAGACCAUUGUUGCGUGUUGUGUGUUGCAUAACCUGUGCCAGAUCGCGAGGGAGCCUGAACCGGAGCUUUGGAAAGAGCCUGAAGAGAAUGGGCAGCCUCCCAAGGUGCUGGAGAAUGAGAAGUCCUUUCAUUACUAUGGGGAGAGUUUGAGGAAAGCCUUGGCUGAUGAUCUAUACCAGCGGCUUUCAUCAAGAUGAGCAAACCAACGGGUAGACCUUUACCAACUUUCUUUUACCAAAUAAACCAUAACGCUAUUGACAAUGAAUUACCUCCUUGUUGAAGGCCUAGAUAUUUCAAAUGACACUUCUCUACUAAACAGACACCCCCAGUUCUAACACAACUAGAAUUGAUGUUAUCUCCCAGUGGAACAUAGCUUGAUUUGUUAAUGUAUGAAGGAAAUUUCUGCUGUUGAAAUAUGAAGGCUUGGUUGUCUAAUUCCACCUGAUCACGUGCCAACCUGGCUGCUGCAAUAGUUGAAAGGGCGUCUUCAAUUUGCAUAUUGUGGAGGGAUCAUCAGAACCUUUUUAUCAUUUAGGUAAAGCAGUAGCAAUUGCUUCAGGCGUUUCCAUCUCUUUAAACCAUUUGCAGAACACUUUGUAUAUUUAUUAUUUACAGCUGAAGAAGAAACAUAUCUACUGAACUUUGAGUGAGUGUAAUGUGUAGGCAAAACAGAAGCAUCAUACUGCAAUAGGUUAAGGAAAAUCACAUCAAUUGUAACCCGAUUUUAUUUACCAGAUAUCUUGCUAAAGGGUGUUUUCUGUACUUUCAACGACAGUGGCAAGGCUAACAUUUCAUGCUGUUUUUUUGUUUGAUGGUUAAAUUAUGAUUUCUGUUUC